GUUGCUGUUUUUUUUGGUGGUCUGUCUAUCAAGAAGGAUGAAGAGGUGCUGAAGAAGAACUGCCCGCAUAUCGUCGUGGGGACUCCAGGCCGUAUCCUAGCCCUGGCUCGAAAUAAGAGCCUCAACCUCAAACACAUUAAACACUUUAUUUUGGAUGAAUGUGAUAAGAUGCUUGAACAGCUCGACAUGCGUCGGGAUGUCCAGGAAAUUUUUCGCAUGACCCCCCACGAGAAGCAGGUCAUGAUGUUCAGUGCUACCUUGAGCAAAGAGAUCCGUCCAGUCUGCCGCAAGUUCAUGCAAGAUCCAAUGGAGAUCUUCGUGGAUGAUGAGACGAAGUUGACGCUGCAUGGGUUGCAGCAGUACUACGUGAAACUGAAGGACAACGAGAAGAACCGGAAGCUCUUUGACCUUCUGGAUGUCCUUGAGUUCAACCAGGUGGUGAUCUUUGUGAAGUCUGUGCAGCGGUGCAUUGCCUUGGCCCAGCUACUAGUGGAGCAGAACUUCCCAGCCAUUGCCAUCCACCGUGGGAUGCCCCAGGAGGAGAGGUGAGCUGAAGAUGGGAAAGAU
rnacentral:misc_RNA from 1 species